rnacentral:rRNA from 1 species
GACGAAACGCUGGCGGCGUGCCUAAUACAUGCAAGUCGAGCGAGCGUGAAUUCAAAGAUCCCUUCGGGGUGAUUUGUUGGACGCUAGCGGCGGAUGGGUGAGUAACACGUGGGCAAUCUGCCCUAAAAGACUGGGAUACCAUUUGGAAACAGGUGCUAAUACCGGAUAACAACAUGAAUCGCAUGAUUCAAGUUUGAAAGGCGGUCGCAAGCUGUCACUUUAGGAUGAGCCCGCGGCGCAUUAGGCUAGUUGGUGGGGUACAGGCCUACCAAGGGCAAUGAUGCCGUAGCCGAGUUGAGAGACUGAUCGGCCACAUUGGGACUGAGACACGGCCC